GAUGGAGUUUUAAGAGGUUAUCCGCCAACAAAAUUUAAAGUAUCUCCUAAAGACAUGUUUGGGAGGACUGCCAUUAUUGCAGAAGUGAAUGAGAAUUUGUUAAAGAAGGUUCAGAAAACUACGGGAGUAAGUUUGGCUUCUGACUAUUGGGAUUUCAUCCCAUAUGAUGCACAACAAGAAGCAAGUGUAAAUUCGUCAAAUUACAAAAGAGUUUUAUCACAUGCUCAG
rnacentral:misc_RNA from 1 species